UGCAGUCGAGCGGACCGACGGGAGCUUGCUCCCUUAGGUCAGCGGCGGACGGGUGAGUAACACGUGGGUAACCUGCCUGUAAGACUGGGAUAACUCCGGGAAACCGGGGCUAAUACCGGAUGCUUGAUUGAACCGCAUGGUUCAAUCAUGAAAGGCGGCUUCGGCUGCCGUUUACAGAUGGACCCGCGGCGCAUUAGCUAGUUGGUGAGGUAACGGCUCACCAAGGCGACGAUGCGUAGCCGACCUGAGAGGGUGAUCGGCCACACUGGGACUGAGACACGGCCCAGACUCCUACGGGAGGCAGCAGUAGGGAAUCUUCCGCAAUGGACGAGAGUCUGACGGAGCAACGCCGCGUGAGUGAUGAAGGUUUUCGGAUCGUACAGCUCUGUUGUUAGGGAAGAACAAGUACCGUUCGAAUAGGGCGGUACCUUGACGGUACCUAACCAGAAAGCCACGGCUAACUACGUGCCAGCAGCCGCGGUAAUACGUAGGUGGCAAGCGUUGUCCGGAAUUAUUGGGCGUAAAGCGCGC
rnacentral:rRNA from 1 species